GUGUGGCUGUGUAUGAAUGGUGUUCAUCACCAAGGACAGGUAUGUUUGUGUGUGUGUGUGGAUGGUGUUCAGCACCAAGGACAGGUAUGUACAUGU
rnacentral:pre_miRNA from 1 species